GGACCCGCACAAGCGGUGGAUGAUGUGGUUUAAUUCGAUGCAACGCGAAAAACCUUACCCACCUUUGACAUGUACGGAAUCCUUUAGAGAUAGAGGAGUGCUCGAAAGAGAGCCGUAACACAGGUGCUGCAUGGCUGUCGUCAGCUCGUGUCGUGAGAUGUUGGGUUAAGUCCCGCAACGAGCGCAACCCUUGCCAUUAGUUGCUACGAAAGGGCACUCUAAUGGGACUGCCGGUGACAAACCGGAGGAAGGUGGGGAUGACGUCAAGUCCUCAUGGCCCUUAUAGGUGGGGCUACACACGUCAUACAAUGGCUGGUACAGAGGGUUGCCAACCCGCGAGGGGGAGCUAAUCCCAUAAAGCCAGUCGUAGUCCGGAUCGCAGUCUGCAACUCGACUGCGUGAAGUCGGAAUCGCUAGUAAUCGCGGAUCAGAAUGUCGCGGUGAAUACGUUCCCGGGUCUU
rnacentral:rRNA from 1 species